rnacentral:rRNA from 1 species
GACGAACGCUGGCGGCGUGCCUAAUACAUGCAAGUCGAACGCUUCUUUCCUCCCGAGUGCUUGCACUCAAUUGGAAAGAGGAGUGGCGGACGGGUGAGUAACACGUGGGUAACCUACCCAUUAGAGGGGGAGAACACUUGGAAACAGGUGCUAAUACCGCAUAACAGUUUAUGCCGCAUGGCAUAAGAGUGAAAGGCGCUUUCGGGUGUCGCUGAUGGAGGGACCCGCGGUGCAUUAGCUAGUUGGUGAGGUAACGGCUCACCAAGGCCACGAUGCAUAGCCGAUCUGAGAGGGUGAUAGGACAAACUGGGCUGGAGAGAUGACCAAGAACACUGCGGGAGGCAGACGUAGGGAAUUUUCGGGGAUGGAAGAAAGUCUGAACGAGCAACGCCGCGUGAGUGCCGGAGGUAUUCGGGUCGUAAGACUCUGUUGUUAGAGAGGAACAAAGACGUUAGUAACUGGGCAUGACCUGAAGGUAUCUAACCAGAAAGCCACGGCUAACUACGUG